AUACGUAGGAUCCGAGCGUUAUCCGGAUUUAUUGGGUUUAAAGGGUGCGUAGGCGGACGAUUAAGUCAGCUGUGAAAUGCCCGCGCUUAACGCGGGAAGUGCAGAUGAUACUGGUUGUCUGGAGUGCCGUUGCCGUGGGGGGAAUGUGUAGUGUAGCGGUGAAAUGCAUAGAUAUUACACAGAACGCCGAUUGUGAAGACACCCCAACAAGCGGUAACUGGCGCUGAGGCACGAAAGCGUGGGGAUCGAACAGGAUUAGAUACCCUGGUAGUCCACGCAGUAAACGAUGAUGACUAACCGUCGGCGAUAUACCGCCGGUGGCCAAGCGAAAGCGAUAAGUCAUCCACCUGGGGAGUACGACCGCAAGGUUGAAACUCAAAUGAAUUGACGGGG
rnacentral:rRNA from 1 species